rnacentral:rRNA from 1 species
GACGUAGGAUGCAAGCGUUAUCCGGAAUCACUGGGCGUAAAGCGUCUGUAGGCGGUUUAAUAAGUCAACUGUUAAAUCUUGAAGCUCAACUUCAAAGUCGGAGUCGAUACUAUUAGACUAGAGUAUAGUAAAGGUAAAGGGAAUUUCCAGUGGAGCGGUGAAAUGCGUAGAUAUUGGAAAGAACACCGAUGGCGAAGGCGCUUUGCUGGGCUACUACUGACACUCAGAGACGAAAGCGAGGGUAGCAAAUGGG